rnacentral:rRNA from 1 species
GACGAACGCUGGCGGCGCGCCUAACACAUGCAAGUCGAACGGAGCUUGAGAGAGCUUGCUUUUUAAGCUUAGUGGCGAACGGGUGAGUAACGCGUGAGUAACCUGCCCUGGAGUGGGGGACAACAGUUGGAAACGACUGCUAAUACCGCAUAAGCCCACAGCUCCGCAUGGAGCAGGGGGAAAAGGAGUGAUCCGCUUUGAGAUGGCCUCGCGUCCGAUUAGCUAGUUGGUGAGGUAACGGCCCACCAAGGCGACGAUCGGUAGCCGGACUGAGAGGUUGAUCGGCCACAUUGGGACUGAGACACGGCCCAG